AAAGGAUAUGGUGGUUUUAUGGUGGUGUAGAGAUUGUGAAGUUAGGAUUGGUAAGUAUGAAGGAGAAGGAAAAAGAUAUAGGAGUAGUGUAAAGGAGAAGAAAGGAUAUGGAGAAGUAAUACAAGAGAAGAAAAGAAAGAAAAUGAAGAAAUGAAAAAGAAAAAAAAAUUAAUAAAAAAAUUUAAAAUACAGGAAACUACAUGUCAAUUUAAUAACAAUCAAAUAAAUUAAAUAUUAAAUAUAAUUAAAUAUUUGUCUUUAAUAUGAUGAAAGUACUAAUUAAAC
rnacentral:lncRNA from 1 species